rnacentral:rRNA from 1 species
GUGGGGAAUCUUAGACAAUGGGGGCAACCCUGAUCUAGCCAUGCCGCGUGAGUGAUGAAGGCCUUAGGGUCGUAAAGCUCUUUCGCUGGGGAAGAUAAUGACGGUACCCAGUAAAGAAACCCCGGCUAACUCCGUGCCAGCAGCCGCGGUAAUACGGAGGGGGUUAGCGUUGUUCGGAAUUACUGGGCGUAAAGCGCGCGUGGGUGGAUGGGAAAGUUGGGGGUGAAUUCGCGGGGCUCAACCCUGGAAUGGCCAUAAAAACUCCGCGUCUUGAGGUCGAGAGAGGUGAGUGGAAUUCCGAGUGUAGAGGUGAAAUUCGUAGAUAUUCGGAGGAACACCAGUGGCGAAGGCGGCUCACUGGCUCGAUACUGACGCUGAGGUGCGAAAGCGUGGGGAGCAAACAGGAUUAGAAACCCUGGUAGUCC